rnacentral:misc_RNA from 1 species
GAUGAAGAACGCAGCGAAAUGCGAUAAGUAGUGUGAAUUGCAGACUUUAGUGAAUCAUCGAAUCUUUGAACGCACAUUGCGCCCCUUGGUAUUCCAUGGGGCAUGCCUGUUCGAGCGUCAUUUGUACCUUCAAGCUUUGCUUGGUGUUGGGUGUUUGUCCCGAGGGACUCGCCUUAAAGUAAUUGGCAGCCAGUGUUUGGUUUUGAAGCGCAGCACAAGUCGCGAUUCAAGGCUACACGCCCGCUUCCACAAGCCUUUUUUCACUUUUGACCUCGGAUCAGGUAGGGAUACCCGCUGAACUUAAGCAUAUCAAUAAGCGGAGGA